rnacentral:lncRNA from 1 species
CUCUCCUGUCUCACAUGUUACCUCACUCAAUGGUACUAUAAACUCUGGGGGAACAUCAUAAAUGUAAUUGGGGUUGAGAAGCUUUACAGAAACCUUGUUGGCAAGUCCUUCUCGGGAUUUGCGGUAACCAUUUUCUAGCUUGCCUUCCCUUUUGCCGUCUUUAUCUUUUUUCUCAGAUUUCUUCCUUAAACGGAGUGCUGUGUGCCAAGACGUUGACUUCUUGAUGGUUCCAUCAGGGUUGUCCAUGAUGACUGCACUGGUAUGCCCCAAGACAUAGCCGGGAAUCCAGCCCUCAGCUGCGGGGCACUGAUCAGUGGCGGCUCUGAACACCAAAAACAUGUUCUGUUGGUUGCUGGCUAGAAUCUGCACAACCUCUCCUUGGUAGACAUUUAUCUCAUCCUCCUUCACUGCCGUGUAAUCGUGUGUCACCAGCAUGGUGGAGAUAUUGCUACUGCUGCUACUUUCAC